rnacentral:miRNA from 15 species
UGGAAGCUAUGAUUGGGGGGAAUGAAGCCUGGUCCGAGAUCUCUUCCACAGGGUGGAGGACUAGCAGUGACCUCGAGCCAGACAACAUUCCCCUCAAAGGAUAAGCUUCCU